GACGUAGGUGGCGAACGUUAUCCGGAAUUAUUGGGCGUAAAGGAUGCGUAGAUGGUGUAGUAAGUUAUCGGUGGAAAAUCGAGGCUCAACCUCGUGGAAGUCGGUAAUACUGCUAUGCUAGAGGAUAGGAGAGGUUAACGGAACUCCCUGUGGAGCGGUGAAAUGCGUAGAUAUAGGGAAGAACACCAAUCAGGCGAAGGCAGUUAACUAUUCUAUUCCUGACAUUGAGGCAUGAAAGCGUGGGGAGCAAAACGG
rnacentral:rRNA from 1 species